AGAGUUUGAUCAUGGCUCAGAACGAACGUUGGCGGCAUGGAUUAGGCAUGCAAGUCGCGGGAAUCCAGCAAUGGGGAACCGGCGUAAGGGGCAGUAAGGCGUGGGUACCUGCCCCGGGGUUCGGGAUAGCCCGCCGAGAGGCGGGGUAAUACCGGAUGACCUCGGGAGAGCAAAGCUCCGGCGCCCCGGGAGGGGCCCACGUGGUAUUAGCUAGUUGGUGGGGUGACGGCCCACCAAGGCGGAGAUGCCUAGCGGGUGUGAGAGCACGACCCGCGCCACUGGCACUGAGACACUGGCCAGACACCUACGGGUGGCUGCAGUCGAGGAUCUUCGGCAAUGGGGGCAACCCUGACCGAGCGAUGCCGCGUGUGCGACGAAGGCCUUCGGGUUGUAAAGCACUGUCGAGGGGGAGAAAAGCCCGCAAGGGUGUGAUCUAUCCCUGGAGGAAGCUCGGGCUAAGUUCGUGCCAGCCGCCGCGGUAAUAC
rnacentral:rRNA from 1 species